UACGGAGGGAGCUAGCGUUGUUCGGAAUUACUGGGCGUAAAGCGCACGUAGGCGGAUCUUUAAGUCAGAGGUGAAAUCCCAAGGCUCAACCUUGGAACUGCCUUUGAUACUGGGGAUCUUGAGUCCGGGAGAGGUGAGUGGAACUGCGAGUGUAGAGGUGAAAUUCGUAGAUAUUCGCAAGAACACCAGUGGCGAAGGCGGCUCACUGGCCCGAUACUGACGCUGAGGCACGAAAGCGUGGGGAGCAAACAGG
rnacentral:rRNA from 1 species